rnacentral:rRNA from 1 species
GAUGAACGCUAGCGGCAGGCCUAACACAUGCAAGUCGAGCGCCCCGCAAGGGGAGCGGCAGACGGGUGGGUAACGCGUGGGAAUUUACCCCGAGGUACGGAACAACUCGGCGAAAGCUGAGCUAAUACCGUAUGUGACCGAGAGGUGAAAGAUUUAUCGCCUCGGGAUGAGCCCGCGUAGGAUUAGCUAGUUGGUGGGGUAAUGGCCCACCAAGGCGACGAUCCUUAGCUGGUCUGAGAGGAUGAUCAGCCACACUGGGACUGAGACACGGCCCAGACUCCUACGGGAGGCAGCAGUGGGGAAUAUUGGACAAUGGGGGCAACCCUGAUCCAGCCAUGCCGCGUGAGUGAUGAAGGCCUUAGGGUUGUAAAGCUCUUUCGCCCGCGAAGAUAAUGACGGUAGCGGGAGAAGAAGCCCCGGCUAACUUCGUGCCAGCCGCCGCAGUAAGAC